GCCCGUUUAGCACAGUGGUAGUGCGUGUCACUCGUAACCAGGUGGUCUUCACCGCUUGCGCAAUGACAAGGUCGAUCGUUCGAUCCGGUCAAUGGGCA